CUGGUCUUGUCCUCCGCCUUAGAUGACAACCUGAUGAAAGUCGGAAUCCGGCUUCAGACUUCAGAAGAUGAGGAGCUGAACUAAUUGAGAGAGUGACCCAAAUUUGUGAGUUUCACAAAGUAUCCCAUUUGGCCUGGAUUCCUGUAGCUUUGGAAUGCGCCUGCAUGCUCGUCCAUUUGGAAGUCUUUUCUGGAGCCCUUUGGAAAACAUCCCCAGCCACACAGAAACCAGCAGAUAAGUGCUGAUAAACAGGAGA